rnacentral:rRNA from 1 species
AUUGAACGCUGGCGGCAUGCCUAACACAUGCAAGUCGAACGGGGCAGCAAUGCCUAGUGGCGGACGGGUGAGGAAUACGUAGGAAUCUGCCCUUAAGUGGGGGAUAACCAGGGGAAACCCUGACUAAUACCGCAUGAUCUCUUCGGAGCAAAGAGGGGGACCGCAAGGCCUCUCGCUUCUGGAUGAGCCUACGUCUGAUUAGCUAGUUGGUAGGGUAAAGGCCUACCAAGGCGACGAUCAGUAACUGGUCUGAGAGGAUGAUCAGUCACACCGGAACUGAGACACGGUCCGGACUCCUACGAGAGGCAGCAGUGGGGAAUAUUGGACAAUGGACGCAAGUCUGAUCCAGCCAUGCCGCGUGAAGGAUUAAGGUCCUCUGGAUUGUAAACUUCUUUUAUAAGGGACGAAAAAAGGCUUUUCUAAGUCGUCUGACGGUACCUUAUGAAUAAGCACCGGCUAACUCCGUGCCAGCAGCCGCCGUAAUAC